GAGCCCGCGGCCCAUUAGCUAGUUGGUGAGGUAACGGCCCACCAAGGCGACGAUGGGUAGCCGGCCUGAGAGGGUGAACGGCCACACUGGGACUGAGACACGGCCCAGACUCCUACGGGAGGCAGCAGUUGGGAAUCUUCCACAAUGGGCGAAAGCCUGAUGGAGCAACGCCGCGUGAGGGAUAAAGGUCCUCGGAUUGUAAACCUCUGUCUUUGGGGACGAUAAUGACGGUACCCAAGGAGGAAGCCACGGCUAACUACGUGCCAGCAGCCGCGGUAAUACGUAGGUGGCAAGCGUUGUCCGGAAUUAUUGGGCGUAAAGGGCGCGUAGGUGGUUUUUUAAGUCAGGAUGUGAAAACUUAAGGCUUAACUUUAAGAUUGCAUUUGAAACUGAAAGACUU
rnacentral:rRNA from 1 species